GCCCCCGUAGCUCAGGGGAUAGAGCGUCGGUUUCCUAAACCGUGCGUCGCAGGUUCGAAUCCUGCCGGGGGCG
rnacentral:tRNA from 4 species